GGGACCGUUAGGGAUGACUGGGAUCUGGAGGGAGUGACCCGUAGGUCAGGGGUUCGAAUCCCCUCGGGCCCA
rnacentral:tRNA from 1 species